rnacentral:tRNA from 10 species
GCCGGGAUAGCUCAGUCGGUAGAGCAGAGGACUGAAAAUC